AAAAGAAGAUCAAGAAGAGCUUCAGAAUGAAGCUUUCUUGAUGGAGGGGAGCGGCAGACGGGUGAGUAACACGUGGGAACAUACCCAUCUCUGCGGAACAACUCCGGGAAACUGGAGCUAAUACCGCAUACGCCCUUCGGGGGAAAGAUUUAUCGGAGAUGGAUUGGCCCGCGUUGGAUUAGCUAGUUGGUGGGGUAAAGGCCUACCAAAGCGACGAUCCAUAGCUGGUCUGAGAGGAUGAUCAGCCACAUUGGGACUGAGACACGGCCCAAACUCCUACGGGAGGCAGCAGUGGGGAAUAUUGGACAAUGGGCGCAAGCCUGAUUCAGCCAUGCCGCGUGAGUGAUGAAGGCCUUAGGGUUGUAAAGCUCUUUCAGGAGGGACGAAGCGAAAGUGACGGUACCUCCAGAAGAAGCCCCGGCCAACUACGUGCCAGCCGCCGCCGUAA
rnacentral:rRNA from 1 species